CCAACGGUUCAUGGCCCAAAAAAGAAGGAUCCAGUUGUGCACACUUGAUAUACUGCGGGAUUCACAGAUAGAAAAAGAGUUGAAACUCGGCGAAUCGGUAAAAGAAAAAGAGGUGCGAACUUGACGAAUCGGAAAAAAGAAAAAGUUCGGAGCUUCUUGAUUGGAUUUCGAUUAUUCUGAAUUCGUUCUAGUUCAGUCGCUGAUUGAUUUCGAUUGUUCUUAUGAAACCGGUUAAAGAAAAAGAGAGGCAAACAAGCAGACACCAUACACUUGGAACAGAAACUUGCAACUCAAGGAAUCAAUCAAAGUUGGAGGAUAUGCUUGAGAAAGAUGCAAUUAUAUGUUGUGUAAUUAGGUGUCAUAGUAGUUAGUUUGUUAGACUAAUCACUAUUAUGGUCUCAUGCUUAAGUCUUUUCCAAUGAAUAUAAAUCAAUCAACUAAUAAGUCAAUUGAUAAAUUGAUUGUCUGACUCAGAACAAGUGUUUUCACUACAUCAAUUGAUUGGGCAAUCGAUUAGUUAAAGGUUUUUAGUGAAACCUGAGUUCUGGGAUAAAUCCAAUCAAUUGGACAAUCGAUUGGGCAAUCAAUUGAUUAAUCGAUUUUACAAGUCUCCGAACCAACCAUGUAUGAAAUCAAUCGAUUGACAAAUCGAUUGUGACAAAGCCUUUAAAAUCAGGAAUAAGUUUUGUGAUGCAAUAAAUCGAUUAAGACAUCAAUUGAUUUAGUUUUCUUAAA